rnacentral:lncRNA from 1 species
ACAUCCGCUAUUAGUGAUACAGCUUCUACUCUGAUAACCAGCAUGUGAUCAGUAAACCGGUAAGAGGUAGUAGAAUCCGACGGCUCUAUCAAGGAAGAAAGAGCUCUGAGAUUUUGUUCGAUUGACCUUUUUUGGGUGGACCAGGACGAUGUCGACAAAGGCCAAACUUACUCGGUGCGAGGUCAGUAAAGCAAGGCUCAUUUAUCCAUUUUCCAAGGCUGAUGUCACUGAUAGCUCUGGGUUCAUUCUGAUUGGCUACCAGAAGGAUAAGAACUAUGCUUUGACAGGAAGGCACCUCUGCCUUUCUUCUCCUAUUCGAAGACCCUUGUGAUGAGUGUGUCUAAAAUAAAAGGCUCUUUAUUUUGAACCGAAGCGCUCGCAAGAGGUAGAUGAUCCCCUUUAAAGAAGAAGGAUUUUGUUCAACGGAGAAAGCCUUCUCCUCCCCGACCAUGAAUCUCUCUCUGUUGAUCGUGACUGGAGGGUUUAGUCAAGCAAUAAUGAGGAAACUUUGACCUUGAUUGAAUGUGUUACACCUGACGAAAUCCCCUCUUGUUCCAAAACCACUAGGCAUUGAAACAGAUAUGAGAGAAAUGCCCCGAAGAAAGAGGCCUAAGGGACUGCUGUGAAACCUUCUUCGAAGUGCUUUUCUCGGUUCCAAUUCCAUGUCUAUAGCGAGAGGGAAUAGAGCCGGCCUCAGAAAGCAAAGCAGGAGCUCAUGCAAAACUCCUGAAGGUGAUGACACUGGUAAUCAGUGAACAGAUUAGUACUAGGAGAUUAGCAAAAUGGACGGCCAAUAGCCAAUUAACAACGAAAUCAUCAUAAUUACUAA